UGCAUUUAAUUCAUGUUUUUGUUUAACUUGCGAACACUGACACACAUAUGCAAAAAUAAAUCCUCUUUUGCAACCCAGAAUUCAUUAAUCAAUAUGGGUUUUGAUACAUUCAAGCAGUAAUUGA